UACGUAGGCAGCAAGCGUUGUUCGGAGUUACUGGGCGUAAAGGGUGUGUAGGCGGUUCUCUAAGUUUGGUGUGAAAUCUCCCGGCUUAACCGGGAGGGUGCGCCGAAAACUGGGGGGCUAGAGUGCGGGAUGGGUAAGUGGAAUUCCUGGUGUAGCGGUGAAAUGCGUAGAUAUCGAGAGGAACACCUGCGGCGAAGGCGGGUUGCUGGGCCGACACUGACGCUGAUGCGCGAAAGCCAGGGGAGCGAACGGG
rnacentral:rRNA from 1 species